rnacentral:lncRNA from 1 species
AGGAAAAUGACCUUUGAUGACGGGUUUAUGAGAAAUUGUGGUUCUCCCGGUAUUCCCUUCCUGCCUCCAGACACAUGCCUGGUUCCCUUGGAUCUCAGCUGCAGAAUCUCAGGCAGGCGGCUGAACUUCACACCCGCGGGACAGCACGUGGACCAACUACAUUCAGAAGUUAGAAGAUAGUUUUAAAGGAAAAAUGCAAAUGAAAUGGUCAAGGCUGAAAAAUUGUUCUCAAAACGUUUCCAAAAUAGCCCUUACUAUCUUGAGACGGAAUGCAGCUCACCUUUGAUCUCAUGUCAAAACAACACAGAAUAACACCAUGAACUUUUUCCAUCUAUCACUCUCAAGAUCAAGGAACCCGGCAUUUGUGUUUUAGUCGAGCGAGAGGCAGUCAAAGAGAGACACCAAAGUAUAUUGGAACACCUGAGAUUUAUGGAUGAGCCAAACCAGCACAGCUGACCUGGAAAGGGAAGCGGGUCCACGCUGCACCUGGGUUCUUUCCUGAAUGAUGGAGUUGACAGCGAUGCAUCUGGAUGGAUGAAGAGCCAGGCCUGAAGCUUGGUGGGAAUUGCUCUCCUUCAUCCUCCAUCCCCUGGACUGGGAUUUCUUUCUCUUACAAAUGGAACCGAAUGCUCUA